rnacentral:rRNA from 1 species
CCUACGGGAGGCAGCAGUAGGGAAUCUUUCACAAUGGGCGAAAGCCUGAUGGAGCAAAGCCGCGUGCAGGAUGAAGGCCUUCGGGUUGGAAACUGUUUUUAUAAGCGAGAAAUAUGAUGGUAACUUAUGAAUAAGGAUCGGCUAACUACGUGCAAGCAGCCGCGGUCAUACGUAGGAUCCGAGCAUUAUCCGGAGUGACUGGGUGUAAAGAGUUGCGUAGGUGGCAGUAUAAGUAGCUAGUGUAAUCUGGUGGCUCAACCAUUCAUACAAUUAGCUAAACUGUUAAGCUCGAGACAGUUAGGAGUAACUGGAAUUUCUAGUGUAGGAGUGAAAUCCGUAGAUAUUA